rnacentral:rRNA from 1 species
UACCAGCACCCCGAGUGGUCGGGACGAUUAUUGGGCCUAAAGCAUCCGUAGCUGGUUCUGCAAGUCUUCCGUUAAAUCCACCUGCUCAACAGAUGGGCUGCGGAGGAUACUACAGGGCUAGGAGGCGGGAGAGGCAAGCGGUACUCAGUGGGUAGGGGUAAAAUCCGUUGAUCCAUUGAAGACCACCAGUGGCGAAGGCGGCUUGCCAGAACGCGCUCGACGGUGAGGGAUGAAAGCUGGGGGAGCAAACCGG